UAGGGAAUAUUGGACAAUGGGGGCAACCCUGAUCCAGCCAUGCCGCGUGAGUGAAGAAGGCCCUCGGGUUGUAAAGCUCUUUUGUCCGGAAAGAAAAGCAUUCGGUGAAUACCCGGAUGUUCUGACGGUACCGUAAGAAUAAGCACCGGCUAACUACGUGCCAGCAGCCGCGGUAAUACGUAGGGUGCGAGCGUUAAUCGGAAUUACUGGGCGUAAAGCGUGCGCAGGCGGUUUUGUAAGACAGAGGUGAAAUCCCCGGGCUCAACCUGGGAACUGCCUUUGUGACUGCAAGGCUGGAGUGCGGCAGAGGGCGAUGGAAUUCCGCGUGUAGCAGUGAAAUGCGUAGAUAUGCGGAGGAACACCGAUGGCGAAGGCAAUCCCCUGGGCCUGCACUGACGCUCAUGCACGAAAGCGUGGGGAGCAAACA
rnacentral:rRNA from 1 species